GUAAUGGCAAUAAUAUAUGAUAAAUGUAAUGAUAAUAAUAAAAGAUUAAUGAAAUGGUAAUAAAUAUUGAUCCGAACUAUAGAAUAAGAGAGCAUAUCCGCUGAAUUUAAGCAUAUAAUUAAGCGGAAGAAAAGAAAAUAACAAUGAUUCCUUUAGUAACGGCGAGUGAACAAGGAAAAGCUCAAAAGGAAAAUCCGCGCGUGGCGAAAACUACGGUGUGGAAUUGUCUGGUUGGGGUUUAAUAUUCUCCUUAUGCUUUGUUAGGUUACGAAAUUAGUAGGAAUACUAUUCCAUAGAGGGUGAAAGGCCCGUAGUUCCCUACAAUUAUAGAUGGAGUAUUCCCUGUAGAGUUGUGUUCUUUGAGAUUGGAGCACGAAUAUGUGUGAUACAUUUCACAUAAAGCUAAAUAUUUGUAGGAAACCGAUAGUAAACAAGUACCGUGAGGGAAAGAUGAAAUAGCACUUAGGAAUGAGGUUUAAACAAUACCUGAAAUCGUUAAGGUGGAACGGAUUGAGAGAGAAAUAACGUAAGAUUAAUAAUAUUUAUUUUUUCUCGACGGAGUAUUUAAAUAUUCAUAUCUUAUUAAAGAAGCAUCAGUGAACUUUUGGAUCAUUAAAACAUGGUUUCGUUCUUUACAAUCAUAAUGUGUUUUCUAAAGAUUUCGUAUCACUCUGCUGAUGGUUACAUACGAGCCAUUGCGAUGUAUCUAGUUUACUGAGGCGUAAUAUAAUAAGUUGGUGUGACGCCCAUACUUGUUUAAGUUGCUUCUAAAAAGCACUUUCUCAACCCACCCGUCUUGAAACACGGACCAAGGAGUCUAACAAAUGUGCAAGCGUAUAUAUGUUUUUAACUAUACAAUAAAGAAAUUAUACUUUAUAAUUACGCGUAAUUAAUGUGACCAUUCUGGCUUAAAAACGGGUGUAGAUUAUACUGAAAUUGAAUUAUUUAUUUUUCACUUGAAGUAUAUGCAUACAAUACCAGUUAGCAAUUAUGCUUAAUUGAGUAUGAGUAUAUUUGUUAGGACCCGAGAGGCUUUGAACUAAGCGUGGUGAGAUUGAAGUCAGACGAAAGUCUGAUGGAGGAUCGAAUUGAUACUGACGUGCAAAUCGUUCAUUUCAAUCACGUUUAGGGGCGAAAGACUAAUCGAAAAGCCUAUUAGCUGGUUAUUUUCGAAAGAUCUCUCAGGAUCGCUGGAGUUGAUUAUAUAGUUUUACGAGGUAGAGAUACUGAUAAUAGGAAUCAGGGAAAGCGUUUCCUUGACCUAAUAUCAUACUCCCAAUACGUAAUAAGGGAAUUAUAUCUUAACUGCAUUUUUUCCAUUAUAAAUAAAAUAACUCCAAGUGUGCCAUUUUUGGUAAGCAGAACUGGCGAUGAGGGAUGCUCCUAACGCUUGGAUAAGGUGCCUAAAUAUUCGUUCAUAGAUACCAUAAAAGGUGUUGUUUUAUAAUGACAGUAGGACGGUUGUCAUGGAAGUUGAAAUCCGCUAAGGAGUGUGUAAAAACUCACCUACCGAAUGGAGUAGCCCUGAAAAUGGAUGGCGCUAAAACGAGUUACCGAUACCAGGCCAUAGAAAGAACACAAAGAACGAGAGUUGCGCCCUUUUUUUUUCUCGAAUCUUUCUAUGAGUAGAAAAUCGUGGGGUUUGUGUCGAAGCAAUAUGCGUGAGCUAUUGUGGAACAUAUCCCUAGUGCAGAUCUUGGUGGAAGUAGCAAUAAUUCAAAUGAGAACUUUGAAGACUGAAGUGGAGAAGGGUUUCUUGACAACUUUGAUUGUACAAGAGUUAGCCGCUCCUAAGGGAAAGCUGAAAUGCAUUUAAAUGGGGAUUUGGUGUUGCAAGCAAUUGUUGCAUCUUUUCUCUGUCCCAAAAGGGAAACAGGUUAAUAUUCCUGUGCCUAGGUCAGUGUUAUGUAUAUGAUGGUAACAUAAUUUGGAGUGAACUUCUUAACGUAGGUUUCCCGUCCGAGAUGCGUUAUCUUUGCAUAUUAACUCUCGAAAUCGACCUUGGAAUCAAUUUAAUUGGAGAAGAGGUUUAUUCAAUUGCAAUUCAGAACGUAUUUAAGUGGGAAUUAUUUAUAAUUCUCAUUUAAAAAAAUUCUGUUUUGUAGUAAUAGUAAUUCAAUAUUUUGAAUUAUCGGAAUGCGAAAACUACCCUUGAAAAAAGAAGGGAAUAGCUAUAUGUAGUGACCAUAUUUUGACGUUUUUAAGAGAGAUGUAUAUUAAAUUGUAAGGUUGUAUUUAAGCCUGCACUCUUGCAAUUUGUAUAUAAUUGCUUUUAAAUAAUAAAUAUGUUAACUAUGAUAGCAUAUAUAACGAUGCCACAUAGUGCGUACCCACAACCGCAUCAGGUCUCCUAGGUUAAUAGCCUCUGGUUAAAUAGAAAAAAGCAGGUAAGGGAAGUAAGCAAAUUGGAUCCGUAACUUCGGGAAAAGGAUUGGCUCUGAGGACAUAUGAGUAGAAAAGUUUAAAUUAGCAUUUGAAAAAUGUUAUAAGGAAAGCAUCUUGGUUCGCCAAGGUGUUUUUUUUUUAUUUCAUUUUCCUUAUGUUUAUUUUAUUCUAUCCCUCUACUCGCCGCCAUUAUUAUUACUUCGGUGAUAUUAAUGGCUAUUAUGUUAACUCAGAACUGAAACGGACAAGGGGAAUCCGACUGUUUAAUUAAUACAUAGCAUUGUGAACGCCAUAAAUGGUAUUAACACAAUGUGAUUUCUGCCCAGUGCUUUGAAUGCCAACUUGAUGAAAUUCAAUUAAGCACAGGUAAACGGCGGGAGUAACAAAAAAACUCUCUUAAGCAAGAUGCAUUGUGUCAUGGAAUUAUGACGUAAUGAUAGAUUAACGAGAUUCCCACUGUCCCUACUUGCUAUCUAGCGAAACCACAACCAAGGGAACGGGCUUGGUAAAAUCAGCGGGGAAAGAAGACCCUGUUGUGCUUUACUCUAGUCUGGCUUUGUGAAACGACUUAAGAGGUGUAGCAUAAGUGGGAGUAGGGAUUGAAAUAUAUCUUCUACGUCAAUUAAAUACCACUACUUUUAAUGAUGUUUCACUCAUCUAUUUACCAGGAUAUUAUACAUGUCGAGAAUUUCGGUUCUUGUUCUGUAUAUAAAAUAUUAUGCGUGUUGAAGAUAACUUCACGGUUAUCUUAUUAUCCUAACCCGGGGUAUAGAGACAUAGCCAGGUGGGGAGUUUGACUAGGCGGUACAUCUGUUAAACAAUAAUGUAGAUGUCCAAAGACAAGCUCAAAGAGAACAGAAAUCUCUUGUAGACUAAAAGGGGACAAGCUUGUUUGAUUUCUAUUUUCAGAAAAAGUAGAAAACGUGAAAGCGUGGCCUAUCGAUCCUUUAUAUUUGCAAAAUGACGGGACUUGCUCCCUACUGUGCAUAUAGAGGUGUCCGAAAAGUUACCACAGGGAUAACUGGCUUGUGGCUGCCAAGCGUUCCUAGCGACGUAGCUUUAUGAUCUUCGAUAUCGGCUCUUCCUAUCAUUGGGACGCAGAAGUCUCAAAGUGUCGGAUUGUUCACCCGCUAAUAGGGAACGUGAGCUGGAUUUAGACCGUCGCGAGACAGGUUAGUUUUACCCUACUGAUGAAUUUUAUUAUUAUAUUAUAAAUAUAUAAUGUAUUGUGACAGUAAUCCAACUUGGUACGAGAGGAUUAGUUGGUUCAGACAUAUGGUACAGCGAUUGGUUGACCAACCAUUGUCGCGAAGCUACGUCUGUUGGAUAAUGACUGAACGCCUCUUAAGUCAGAACCCAUGCUGAUUAAACGAUACUAUUGGUUCUUUUUUGCCCACUU
rnacentral:rRNA from 1 species